GGUGGGUCAGGGGUUCAACCCCCCCCCCCCCGAAAUUUUCAAAACCCCUCCCGAAAUUUUUUUCUGGCUACGGCCCUGCUGGUCCACAAUCCUUCAGAAUGUUAAGGGGGUGAAUUAUCUUUUGGGAAAAAAAUACAAAUAAAGUCCUAUGCACAUUAGUAAGGUAAAAGUUUCCCCUGAUGUUUGACCGACUCUGGGGGUUGGUGCUCAUCUCCAUUUCUAAACCGAAGAGCCGGCGUUGUCCAUAGACACCUGCAAGGUCAUGUGGCCGGCAUGACUGCAUGGAAUGCCGUUACCUUCUCGCCGGAGCAGUACCUAUUGAUCUACUUACAUUGGCAUGUUUUCAAACGGUUAGGUUGGCAGAAGCUGGAGCUAACAGCGGGCGCUCACUCCACUCCCGGGAUUUGAACCUGCGACCUUUUGGUUUGCAAGUUCAGCAGCUCAGUGCUUUAACACAUUUCGCCACCGGGGUUCCUGCCAUAGAUUUGGGCAAAAUAUCAGGAGAUAAUGCUUCUAGAACAGGGGUCCUCAAAAUGUUAAAGGGGCGAAAUAUCUUUUGAAAAAAAAUACAAACAAAUUCCUAUGUACAAUGCACAUGUCUUAACUGUAUUAAAAAAACAAAACCCAAAACGACAACAAUGAAAAAACAAUACAAUAUUUAAAAAUAAAAACAAUUUUAACCAACAUAAUCCUAUUAGGAGUUAAAUGGGAAGUGUGGGCCAGCUUCUGGGCAAUGAGAUAGUCAAGUUAAUUAGGAUUGUUGUUGUUGUGUGCCUUCAAGUCAUUUCAGACUUUGGGCAAGCCUAAAACUGGGGGGGGGGAGGUAAAUGACCUUGGAGAGCCGUAUCCAUAAGCCUUAGUUUGGGAACCCUGUUCUAGAACAUGGCCAUACAGCCCGGAAGACUCACAACAACCCAGUGAUUCCGGCCAUGAAAGCCUUCGACAACACAUGGAAUAGAUUUUAAUGAGUCUUUCAGAAAGUUCAAGGCAAUGCAUCUGGCCCCAUACUGAGGAUGGGGAAAGUAUGGCCCAAUGCCAUGUACAGACUCUGAGGGACAAUUAUAUAGCCACUGAAACCCCUUUUAAAAUCCUCAACCCUCUCCAAAAUGUGUUGUCAAAGGCUUUCAUGGGUUGCUGUGAGUUUUCCGGGCUGUAUGGCCAUGUUCCAGAAGCAUUCUUUCCUGACAUUUCGUCCACAUCUAUGGCAGGUAUCGUCAGAGGUUGUGAGGUCUGUUGGAAACUAGGCAAGUGGGGUUUAUAUUAUAUAUCUGUGGAAUAAUGUCCAGGUUGGGAGAAAGAAUUCUUGUCUGAGGCAAGUGUGACUGUCUUAAUUGAUCACCUUGAUUAGCAUUUAAUGGCCUUGCAGAUUCAAAGUCUGGCUGCUUCAGAUCUUGUCUGAUCUUGGUUACUAAGCUGGGUCUGGCUAAUAGUUGGAUGGAAGACCACCAAUGAAUAGCUUAGGCUAUAUAGCAAAACCACCUCUGAAUAGUCAUUGCAUAACAAAACUAGAAAUUCAGGGCUUGCUAUAAGUCAACAGAGGAUGUAAACAUUUGUUUAAAUUGGGUGUUGUGUGGUUUCAGAGCAAUGUGGCUAUGUUCUAGCACAGGCAUGGGCAAACUUUGGCCCUCCAGGUGUUUUGGACUUCAACUCCCACAAUUCCUAAAAGCCGGUAAGCUGUUGGGAAUGGUGGGAGUUGAAGUCCAAAACACCUGGAGGUCCGACGUUUGCCCAUGCCUGUUAUAGCAGCAUUUUCUCCUGAUGUUUCGCCUGCUUCUGUGGCUGGUAUCUUCAGAGGAUUUGUUUAAAUCUUUGUUUAUCCAUGUAAUGACCUCUAAUCCUUAUUCAAGCGAUGUAACUCCUGUGCUGGCAAAAUUGCCCCUUCAGACAAGCAUGAUCUGUGCCUUUUUGGCUUUGGAGGGAGUAAGAAGACUCAGUCUUGUUCAAUCUGCAGAGGUUUCACUAAGCAAGGAGUCACACCACUAAAUUAAAAUGUAAGAUUAGACAAUAGGGUCAUUUUGACAAAAAGAACUGUAGAAAUGUUAACUUUACCUAACUAUAGUAAUAAGACAUAUUAUUACACAAUAUUUGGAAAAAAUAAUUUUAAUAAAUGUAUCUGGGCAUCAUCACACUCACAUUAAAUGCUCCCAAUUGUACCUGGCUUAAGCUGCCAGUGUCAACUCACCCUUUAAUGUCUAUAAUUGCAGCAACUAUUAAGCUGUGCCCAUGAAAUUAAAUUGUUAGAAUUUUUUUUUUGCAGGAAACAGAAAUUAUUUUGUUAUGAACAGGAUUUGUGAGCUUUAUUGUUGUGGUGGUGAUGACGGUGUGCCUUCUGCAAGGAUGUUGCCCAGGAGAUGCCCAGAGGUUUGAUGUUUUACCAUCCUAUGUGGGAGGCUUCUCUCAUGUACCCUCACGGGGAGCUGGAGCUGACAGAGGAGCUCACCCCAGGGCCAUAGCCAGAAAAAAAAUUGGGGGAGUAUUGAAUCUUUUUUUUAGCCAAUCAUGAAGAGUAGUUCCAUAACACAAAAUAAUAUAGAAAUCAGGCUCCAUUGACAAACUUCACUGGACACUCAUGAGAAUUUGGUUAACCAUUUAAAAUUCAUGAGUAAACCAGUUUUUUUAAAACCUGUAAAAUUUCGGGAGAGGGUGAGUUGAACCCCUAUCCCCCCCCUUUGGCUACAGCCCUGGUUCACCCCCUCUCCCUGGAUUCGAACUGCCGACUGUCAAUUGGCAGUUCUGCCGGCACAAGGGUUUAAUCCACUGCGCCACCAGGGGCUCAUCCAAGCAAUUAAAACAUCAAUAAUUAAAAACAUCAAUUAAAAUUACGCAAUCCAGUUUAUAAUCCAGGGCCAUUCCAUUUGUCAAUCACAUUAAUUCAAUUAUUGCACUUCUCCGAUUAUUGGUCAUAUGCUUUGUCCUAAAGCCACGUCUUACAUUUUUUCCUUAAGGUCAGGAGAGCGGGGCCUGAUCUGAUUUCAUUGGGCAGUUCCACAGAUGAGGGGCCACCACGGAGAAGGCCCUGUCUCCCAUCUCCACCAGUUGCGCAUGCGAGGGGUGUGGGACCGAGAGCAGGACCUCCCCCGAUGAUCUUAACUUUCAAGGUGGAUCAUCGAAGAAGAUACAUUUGGACAGGCAAGUACCUAAAUAGCUUCUCCCCCAGCGCACUCCCAGUCAUGUUCUGGAUUAUUCAUUGAAAAGGGGUGGAUGAGCAUCUAGAUACUUCCGGAGACGGGUGGGAUAAUCAGUCAUGACUCCAGAAACCCCAUAACUGAAGGCCUCGUCAAAAUCUUUGUCUUCAUUCAAGACCCAAAGAAGAACCUACAUGGGAGAGAGAUGAUUCUGAAUAUUGACAUUUCUGCAGAAAACUAGGGUUUUUUCAUACCUUUUUAAUGAGUGACUUAUUUAUUUAGCCAUUAACUCAAACAGUUCAGAAUGUUGCUGAAGUAAAAGUCGCAGGCACUAUUUUACAAUCAGCAAAGUGUGUUGUUGGAAGAAAAGCACUUUCUGAAGAGGAAAAGUCAUGGUGAUUUUGAUACUGAUUGACAUAUACAAAAUAGUUGCAGAUAAUACCACAGACACCUGAGAACCAAUGCAGAGUAAACUGUGAGCUGGAGACAGGAAGACAUUGGUUUAGAUUUAAUCUGAGCUAUGAACUGAAGAUGGUAGGUGUUUGUGGGCCUUUCUAUACUGCCAUAUAAUGCAGUUUCAUAAUGCAGUUUAACUGUACUGAACUGCAUUAUAUGGCAGUGUCGACUCACAUAAUGCAGUUUAACUGCAUUAUGAAACUGCAUUAUAUGGCAGUGUAGAUGGGGUCUGUGUUCUUAUGCAGAUAUAAAGGCCAUUGAACUUACUGGUGCUGAUUUCCAGGAAUACAUGAAACUACUAUUUUCAGAUUUCAGCUCUGCAUUUGCAGUGUAAAGAUGAACUACUUUACACAGUUCUUUCCAGUAAUAUAGGUAAAGUACUUUCAACAUUGCAGAUGGGCUAUAGGAGAGUUGUGUAGUUUCCUGCAGCAAGAAUAAAUCUAACACCAGAAAGACAGGAAACAAUUUUCUGGUAAUCUUUUGUGGGUUAGACUUACAGAACUUUCCACUCUAGUGCUUUUGUCUUUUUUUGUCUGUGGUUUGCUCACCUAGUGUGGAACAUCUGCACAAUGUUGCUGUAAUCGAUCCUGUUUCAAUGUAAUGUUGUUUCCUUUCAAUGGCCACCACCUGAUUGGUGGUAAUUUUUUAAAAAAAAACUUCUUGUGAUGCAAUCACAGCACUAGGUGAUCCAGUAUGGACAAGCAAGUGAUGUUGACAUAGCUGUCCGAAUACAGUGGUCUGCAACCCAACCAGAAAACAUUAAUGUUCAUUCUGUAUCACUCACCACCAUACCAUUUCUGAGAUGUUUGGGUUCGGGCCCACAUAAAAGUUCAUACCACAAUCAGUGCACUAGUGUGAUAUGUUGUUCUUUUUAUUAUUUAUGAGGAUAAAAAUUGUACAUUUAAGAUCCCUUCCACACUGCCCCUAUAUCCCAGGAUCUGAUUCCAGAUUAUCUGUUUAUCCCAGAUUAUCCGGCAGUGGAGAUGCAUAUAAUCAAGUUUAUAGCAGAUAAUCUGAGAUCAGAUGCUGGGAUACAGAGCAGUGUAGAAGGGACCUAAAUCUAACCUACCUUAGAGGUUUAAAGUCAAGAGGCAAGCUCUAAACAUAGAAUGAGAAAAGCUUGGUCCUUCCUGGUUUAAAUUGUGGGACAUCUCAAUUAAGAGUGAUUUAUCCAAUCUAUCAGACAGGGUAUAUAUUAAUUGUAUUUAUGCUCUGUUCAGUGUACAAUUAGGAACAUUAUUUUAUUACUGUAAGAUACUUCCAUCCUUCUCAUGGGAUAGCAGUAAUGGUAUACAAAUAAACUGGUAAUAAACACCCAUAUUCCUACUCUUCAUUCCCAUUUAAAAGGAUUUUUAAUCAUGUCAAAAGCAACUUGAGAACAUACUGCAAGUCGCUUCUAGUGUGAGAGAAUUGGCUGUCUGCAAGGAUGUUGUCCAGGGGACAUCUGGAUGUAUUAGCUAGGAGGCUUCUCUCAUGUCCCAGCAAGCUAGAGCUGACAGACAGGAGCUCACCCUGUCUCGCAGACUCAAACCGGCAACCUUCAGGUCAGCAACCCAACCUUCAGGUCAGCAGUUCAACCAGCAGAAGGAAUAUGCGCCACCAUGGCUCAUAUUCAAAAGGAUGGAAAGGCCAGAUGAAACCAUCCAAGCCAGGCCAAAUUUAUCUGCAGGUUCUUCCAGAUUAGUUUUAAAAAAAACAACCACAUUCUCAUGCUGUAGUUCCUCGAGUUUUGCGAAUGUAUUAGUGCCUCUGUGCCCACUCAUUCCAUUAGUGGGGAGUAGGAAUCUUCAGAGGAACUUUGUGGAUCUAUUGUGCUUCUGAAGAAUUUUGGUUUGCUGUGUAUUGUUGGAAGGGCAAAUUUUAGAAAUAUUUCCUAGAGUUACAAAGUUAUACUGCAGAAGUACAAGUUCACUGAUACACUGUAGCUCUAAAGAAAAAAAAGGAAGAAAGGAGGAAAAUGGAAGGUUACAUAUUGGUCUAAAAAAAUUUGAGGGUAGGAGUAACAUGUUGCUCUUAGUGCUGAGAAAUGCCUGAAAAUAGUCAUUAUUCAAGGACUGUAGAAAUGUUUGGAAAGUUUUAAAAUAACUCAAGCAUUAUAGCAUGAAAUAGCACACUCUCCUCGAAUUUUGUUUUCCUGUCUGGAGGAGCCCUCAUAAAGUGUCAGGCUAAUACCCUGUUUCCCCUAAAAUAAGACAUCCCCAGAAAAUAAGGCCUAGUAGAGGUUUUGCUGAAUUACUAAAUAUAAGGCCUCCCCUGAAAGUAAGACCUAACAAAGUUUUUCUUUGGAAGCAUGCCCUCCAAACAGAACACCAGAGCAUGCAGGAUCGGUAAAUGUACAUACCAGAGUGUUGUACAUGGAAAUAAUGGUCGUAACAAGAAAUUCUUGAUAGGAUUCAUAGUUUGGUUAUGCUGGUUUAUGAUGACAACUACUGUAUAUAAUGUUCAUUUUUUUGUUCAACAAUAAAUGUGAAUUCUUCUUCAUGGAAAAAUAAGACAUUCCCUGAAAAUAAGACCUAGAGCAUCUUUGGGAGCAAAAAUUAAUAUAAGACAAUGUCUUAUUUUCGGGGAAACACGGUAGGAAAACCCAGACUUUGAUCAUUUUCAUACCAAAGAGAUUUCAGUGGCCCACGCCCUGACUGAGUUCCUUUCAAUUUACCUGUAUUCCUCUGUCUUCGAGAUGCUUAAGAAGUUUUUUCCUCAUUGUCAUUCUGUUUGAGAAAGGAAUGGACAGGACAGAGAAGGUUGUUUGUUACAUGUUGUUUGUUAUAGACACCAGCAAAAUAAAUAAUUAAAAAGACUGAAAAAAAUAUGGUGGCGCAUGUUAAAUCAGCAUCCGUUAUGUUUUAAUUUAGAGAAAGUGGUUUUGUGAUAUAUAAACUGUGAAGACUACUAGGUUAGUCAUAUCAUUUUGGUCAAACUCAAGGGAAAUCAGGUAUUAAAGCUUGCAGAUUUAGUUCAGCUCAUCCUAUGAAUUCUGAAUUAUUUUCAGAAAAACAAGAUUGUGCGAAAGGACUUUCAAGCUUGGUUAGUGAUCAAGGAUGCUUUAUGAGAGCUGAGCAGGAAAAGUAUUUUUUGCUGUCACUCACUUGUAGGAAAAUUUUGCCAGCAGUGCUCCCAACUUGCCCCUUUUCACUGGAAAAUAUGUCCUAUGAUUAGAAAAGACAAAAACAUAAAAGCGGUGAGAAUAUAAAACCAGUAAGAAAAUGUCACUUUCUGUCAUUCUUCCUCAAAGGUGCUAGAUUCCCAGUGUCUUUUUUAACAAUCCUGAUGUCACCUCCCUCCCUCACUACACAAAGUAACAUUCAUUAAUUACUGUGUUAUCAUACCAUUUCCCCCAAAACUAAAGUAUUAGUGAGCAUAAAAUAAAAGUCACAAUGAGGGGCAGAACAACCAUAUCACAAAAGCCUGACUGCUGAUUUUUCACUGUGAUUGUAAACUUUACUAGAGGCUUUAGCGUCUCAGAAUGCAAUCACUAGAAGUUGCUUUCUUUAUUUAAUUCCUAAUUGCAGUGGCAGCCUGAGCUCUACUUUUUAUAUGUUCCUGGGAUCUAUUAAGCCUGUGUGAAACAGAUGGUACUUUAAUGGCUCUCUCCAGUGUGGAGAAAUAUUUAACUUGGCAGUGGCAAGAAAAGAUUGAGUCCCUUUUAAGUUAGCAGCACUAAUUCUCGCAUUUAUUUGUUCAGAAAAUAGUUUUGAAUAAAGAGCAUAUUUAACUGUAGACUGAAGUACUAACAGCCCAGAAUGAGUUCUAAGAAGUCUUGGCUCUUAUCUCGCACCCCUUCUAUAUAUACUGCCAUAUAAUCCAAAGCAGAUAGUCGACAUUAUCUGCUUUGAGCUGGAUUAUAUGAGUCUACGUUGCCAUAUAAUCCAGUUUAAAGAAGAUAAUCUGGAUUUUAUGUGGUGGUGUAGAAGGGGCCUAGGACUUCCCAGAAUCGUGAAGAUCAAGAUGGCUCUGGGGCAGCAGAGGGACCACUUUAAUUCCCAAUGACCUUUCCACCCUCUAAUUAACAAAUAGCACCUAAUAAUGACAACAACAACAACAAAGUAUGGAUUGUCGAUGUUGCAAUCUCAGGUGACAGCAAGAUUGAGGAGAAACAACUGGAAAAGCUGACAUGAUAUGAGGAUUUAGAGAUUGAAUUACAAAGACUGUGGCACAAGCCAGUCAAGGUGGUCCCAGUGGUGAUCGGCACACUGGGUGCAGUGCCUAAAGGCCUUGGCCUGCACUUAAACACAAUCGGCGCUGACAAAAUUACCAUCUGCCAGCUGCAAAAGGCCACCUUACUGGGAUCUGCACGCAUUAUUUGCUGACACAUCACACAGUCCUAGACACUUGGGAAGGGUCCGAUGUGUGAUCUAAUACAACAGCCGGCAGAGUGUCUGCCGUGGACUUAUCUUGUUGUGUUUCAAAUAAUAAUAAUAACAACUUUAUUUUUAUAUCCUGCAUCCAUCUCCCUACAGAGACUCGGGGCAGCUAACACAGGGCCGAGCCCAAAAAACAGAUAAAAGCAGUGCCCAUCAAGUGGACACUGCUGGCCAAUUUGUGAUAAAGUUAAUCUCUUAUUCCCCCUUUUUAUGCUAUGUAGAGACCAUAUUUUGGUCUGUUCAUACCUCACUCUUACACAGUAGUACAUUGUGUGUACAUUGGGCCAUGGUGGCACAAUGGGUUAAACCCUUGUGCCAGCUGAACUGCUGACCUGAAGGUUGAUGGUUCAAAUCCACCAGAUGGAGUGAGCUCCCAUCUGUCAGCCCUAGCUUCCCAUGCGGGGACAUGAGAGAAGCCUCUAUCAGGAUGGUAACACAUCUGGGCAUCCCCUGGGCAGCAUCUUUGUAGAAGGCCAAUUCUUUCACACCAGAAGCAACCCAAUUUGCUUCUGACAUCAUAAAAACCCUCUUACACAGCUAGUGUUCAAGGACUCUGGUCAGCAGCUGGUAUAGCAAAAAGACCAAACAAACUGAGGUGGAAAUAGAGGGUGGUUCGCCAUUUCAUUCUCUUUUCCCCAAUUUGAACUGACAGCAAGUCUAGGACUGUUGUAUUUCUGACUUCCUCUCCCCAUCCCCUUUUGCCCAUCCAUCCCCUGUCACCUGUUCAUGAUGGAAGGCAGCACAAACUCCAGGAAGGACUCCUUCAAGGGAAUGAAAGGCAAGAGCCCCACGUAAUAGAGAAGAAGUAUUAGGAUGCCACGCGACAGAGAAAAAAUAUAGGGCAUCUCGGUGUUCUACAGGAUAGAUAAGAAGGAUAAAAUAAUGUUAUGUCACAUUUUGUAAGGACAAUGUAACUUCUAGAUUGAACAGCUGGGAUCAAUUUGGACCCAUCCCUGAUCAUUACACAGAUCUCUGCUGGUCAUUAUUGCAUGCUGCCUAUUUUGUAGUCUGUCUUUCAAUUAAUUAUAAUAUGAUGUUCCAGGAAAAGCAGGUCCUUCUGUUUUUCCCCUUGGGAAGAGGGAGAUCAGAGAAUGUCUUACAUUUCUGUUAUACAUUUAAAACAUUUGAUAAUUGCACUUUCAUGCAAACAAAAAAAAAUUAUUUUUGGACUGCCAUUCUCAAAAUCCUCCUAAGAUCCAGCCAUUAUUCAAUGCUGGCUGGGAGAUUUUGGAGACUGUAGUCCUAAAAGGAACACUUUCAAGACCUAUUUGAAUUCUUUGUGGGCACUUCCUAGUGCUUUUACUGAGAUACAAUUCACAGGGUGUUUGCAUUAAAGAACAUGACAUCUUCACAAGUUUGAAAUGGUUAAGCAAGCAAUCUAUAUAUAUAAAAGAGUGAUGGCAUCACGGCGACCCACAAAUCAACAAAACUACAGGCCCCCCAACCUCGAAAUUUGACAACACAACCCAUCAUCCACGCCUCUAGGUUGAUACAACAAAAAUAAAAGAAAAAUAAAGUCCUAAUUAGAGAGAGAGGAAUAAUUGCUUUUAUCCAAUUGCUGCCAGUUAGAAGGCUAAGCUCCUCCAACUUGGUCUCCUAGCAACCCAAUAAAAAAUAAUAAAAAACACUAAACAAAUUGAUACAAUAAAAUACUAUAAUAACAGAAAAUAACUAAAAAUAAUACAAGAAAAUAAUAAAAUAUAAUAAAUAAAAAUAUAACUUACAAUAAAAUUAAUAAAAAAUGCAAAUAACGUCAAAUAAAAAUUACACAACAAUUUUUAACCAAUACCACCACCACUUUGCCACAGCAACGCGUGGCCGGGCACAGCUAGUAUCAAAUAAGGCUACAGAAACCAACUGAAAGUGAGCAGGAAGCUGCCUCUUUGAUAUGUCUUUGUUUUGUUGUUAUGGGAUGCAUCUUCCUGCCCCUCUGUAUGAAGAGUCCUCCGUAGGGUGAAUUCCUGCCUGCUCUCCUACAGUCAAAAACUUGGUCCAGUAAACAUUGCUUUGUUUACGAGCCUGAUAACUGUGAAAGUGGUAAAGGACAAUUGAUACAUACGGCUGCACAGCAUUUCUUCAGUAUCUUUCCCUCAAAGGAAGCCCAGAUGGUUAUAUGGGAGCGCUCAUAUUGCCGAACAAGGUUGGCUACCUGUGUGCAAGACCAGAUAGUAGAGAAGGACAAAAUCAGAAAGCAAUUUUAAUAAAAAGAGAUGAGAUUUUCAGAGUCACCUUGGGCAUGCAAAUGGAGCAGAAGGGGUUAAACAUAUGGUAUCUAGGAUUACUGCUCAUUCCAUGGAAAUUAAGAUUAUGUAUUGUGGUCGGAUGUAUUUGUAUGAAUUUUAUAUGUUGUACGCCGCUUUGAAUCCCAGCCACGAGAGAAAAGCGGGAUAGAAAUGAAUAAAUAAUAAUAAUAAUAACAAUAAUAAUAUUCCAUUGUAAAUUGUCACAUACAUAGAAUCAUAGAAUCAUAGAAUAGUAGAGUUGGAAGAAACCUCAUGGGCCAUCCAGUCCAACCCCCUGCCAAGAAGCAGGAAAUUGCAUUCAAAGCACCCCUGACAGAUGGCCAUCCAGCCUCUGCUUAAAAGCCUCCAAAGACAGAGCCUCCACCACAGUCCGGGGCAGAGAGUUCCACUGCCGAACAGCCCUCACAGUGAGGAAGUUCUUCUUGAUGUUCAGGUGGAAUCUCCUUUCCUGUAGUUUGAAGCCAUUGUUCCGCGUCCUAGUCUGCAGGGCAGCAGAAAACAAGCUUGCUCCCUCCUCCCUAUGACUUCCCCUCACAUAUUUAUACAUGGCUAUCAUGUCUACAGUCCAGUCUUUCUGACAUAUAAUUUUCCACUAGGAAAUUAUUUUAAAAACAACACUAUUUUAAUCUGUAAACUCUGGUUUCUUCAUUUUGCCUUUCUUGGUUUCUAGUUUCCUUCUCAGAGAAGGUUGGAGUAUCGAAUGCACUGAAGAGAUAGAAUGCUGAAUUCAAGUUUUUAAAAGUACAGUAUUAUGUAUAGAAUGGCCUGGACUGAGGUGUCCAGGGUUUUUUUUAAAGUACAGAGUAUGUGAGAAGAUACUCUGUGAGAAAAGAUAUGUGUUUACAUAGUUCUUCUGGAUCCUUGUGGAUAUGGUUGUGUUUUCAGCAAAAAUCUGGGGGCUGAGGUAGAGGCAAAAGCAGAUAAUAGAACAAGAAAGGAGUCUUAUCACACAUAAAAGACAGACAGAUUAAUUGUGGCAUGUAUUCUUUCCACUUCAUAAAAUAUAUCAGCUGCAUAGAUCUAGUGUAUAUAGUCCAUUAAUGUUUAAACCAUAAUAAACCUGCUAGCCUUUACAGUGUCGCAACAUUCCUUUUUAUUAGUGGGAUAGUGAAAAUGCAGAGGCAAAAAAGAAACAGUGUUAAGCAGAGUUCACUACAGGAUGCAAAUGUUAUACACAAGAGUCUGUCAAGAUGCAAAAGUGAAAGCAUUUGUCACUGGGGGACUGAACCUUGAAAGGAGAAACCAACAAACAUCUAGGUUGUUGUGAGUUAUCUGGUCUGUAUGGCCAUGUUCCAGAAGCAUUCUGAAACAUGGCCAUACUGCCCGGAAAACUCACAACAGCCCAGUGAUUCCAGCCAUGAAGUCUUCCACAACACAAAAAUCUAGGUCUUGUACAUUAUUGGGAUGGACAAAAGAAAAACACCCUUACUUUCUGUAUGAGUUCAUCAAUGUCUUCUUUAAUUUCAACAUUGAUAGGUAUUCCAGGAAAUUGCUGGAAGACCUCUUCCAACCUUGGAAUCCGGUGAUCAUCCCCAUGGGAGAAGGAACCUGUCAGAAGGUGUAGGUGGUAGGAGCUUAGAGCAUACCUUGCAAGGGUGAAAUUUCACCAAGUCUUUACACCACCCAUCACAGCAUUCCUCACCCAGAACAACUGUUAGUCCUACUUACCCGGUGAAAAUGUCACCUCCAAAGAAUCCUUAUAGGGUGGCAGAUCCUAUGGGACACAAUGAGAGUAAGGACUAAGGAGCCAGGACACCUUGUUUUUCAGGUAAGUAAGUAAGUAAGUAACUUUAUUUUUCCAUCCCGCCACCAUCUCCUGACCCAGGGCGGCUAAUAUGGGACAAAGGCCCGAAAACAAAACAAGUACAACAAUUAAGACAUAUUACAAUAAAUAAAACACAAUAAAAUCAACAUUAUAAAAACAAUACAUUACAUAAAUCAUAAAAAAUCAUUAAAAGCAUAAAAUGAGAAAACCAAAUUACCAUGAAAUGAACCACCAGGUUGAUGGAGGGGGAUGGAGGAGGGUUAGGUCUUUUCUUUUGGAAGAGACAUAGGAUUGAGUGGCUUGUAGAGUGUGUGUGUGUAUAUAGAUGUUUGAAGAAAGCAGUCCUGGGUUUUCUGGGAGGGAGAUGAGUUCUUAAGAUUAGAAGUAUGAUCCUGGGCUAUGUUUUGCAGAGACAUUAUACAGCCACUUUGCUAAGUCUGAACAGCUUUGAGCUUGGUCAGUAUCUUGGAUGGAAACUCCACAUGCACUGAGUUCCAUCACAGAAGAAAAACGAGGUAUAAUGUGGCCGUAAAUAACAGAAGCAGGUUAACUUGAGAGCUAGAACCAUAGAGUCCUUACCGCAUAGUUUGUCUCAGUGAUCUUAAUGUCGCGUCCUGUCUGGCGUAGCAGUUCAUUAUCAUGGGACACAACCACAACUCCAUCUCUUGUUAACUGGCAGUCAAGCUCUAGCAGGUUUGUCCCCUGGCUCAACGCACUAGGAAGAUGGACAAAGAGGUCAGUGUUAGAGAUUGUAUGGCAGCAGUAGGGGUGAAAGCCAAGACCAUGCAAAGAAGGAUGAGGGGGCAUCACUCACUGAUGAAAGGCUUCCAAAGUGUUCUCAAUCCGUUCACCAGAACCUGAGAAGGAAAGAGGGAUGUUGGGAAAGGCAGGCGAUGAAGCUCCCAAUGUCUGAUAUUUCCCCCUCCUUCCCCCAGGAGACCAAACGCCCAUAUGGGCUGUAGGAAUGUGGCAAUACAAGUCUAGGGCACUGAAGCAGAAAGACAUACGGACAUCCUACCUGUCAGAAGGAAAAGAGGAUCAGGUGUCUGGGACUGAUUUCUCCUCCACACUCAACUCUGUUAACUCUGAAUUGCAGCACAGCACACCUGCUUUCCAGGUUCUGCGAGUGCCACCCCCCUCAAUCAAAUUCCCAAUUAGGUCAGCAAAAACUCACCACCACGAUGAGAGACAUGCCGGCAUCGGACAGGAAACCUUUUCUUUUUGUGGAGAAGAUGUGGGUUCUUUCUCAGGCAGUGAGAUGCCAGCGCAUAGAUCCCAAGAGCAGGCAACCCAUAAAAAAGUAAGUUGGAGCUCAUGGUGGAGUCUUGGGUUCCUCUUAAAAGCAGAUGGUACUCAUAGGUCAGAGGAAAAAAUAGAAGCAGGUUCUUCAGAUCCUCUGGGAAGAGACAGGAUUGAUGAAUGACAUCGGGUAGACUGGGAUCCCUGAAAUCCUGGGUCAGGUACAAUGAGCAGUGUUGGCCAUCAUGGCCAUGAGUGGCUGGAUUGGCAGGUUCUUGUGGUUUUUAAGUCACAGUAGCAGGAAGAAGGGUGUGUGGAAGGCAGUCAAGAUAGGUGUUCACCCCUCCCCUUGGCUUGACAGAACCUCCCUAGUCUUCAGCUUGCACACCUUCAUCCACAUGAAUGGCUAUGUAUGUCACACACACACACCAGUCAUACACCUGUCCUUUCACGCCCCAUGCCAACCUGUACACUUUACAGUCUUGCCACUCCCCGGGAUAAAGAGCAUUUUUUUUCUUGGCAGCAACACGCCAGGAGUGGGUGCUUUCGGUCCUGUUUUGAACCACUUGACCUCGUUUCUCUUCCAAGGAAGACAUAUGACUUUAACCUGAACAAAAUUCCAGAGUCCUCUUAAGUCCAGCAGAGCUCAUGCCUGAAAUUAAAUGAAGACCAAACAGGGGGACAUUGGGGGAUUUCCUUCCAUUGCAAAUAAUAGUCUCAAUAAAGUGAGUAUCCCUAGGUUAGUUGCAGGGGAAUUAAAAAUUAAAUUCCUUUUCUUUUCUGACUUUGGACCCAUUAUUUUCCCCUCCCCACUUGAUAUGACUUUUAAUAAUAAUAAUAAUAAUAAUAAUAAUAAUAAUAAUAAUAAUAAUAAUAACGAUCUGCAAAAGGCCACCCUACUGGGAUCUGCGCGCAACAUCCGAAAAUACAUCACACAGUCCUAGACACUUGGGAAGUGUUCGACUUGUGAUUUUGUGAUAUGAAAUCCAGCAUAUCUAUCUUGUUUGCUGUGUCAUAAAAUAAAAUAAUAAUAAUAAUAAUGCUUACCUACAGGCUGAUACUUUGGACCCAAAGACACGCAGAGAGAGACACAGAGAGAUGUUUAGCUUUUGCAGCUUGUGAUUGUGCCACCCAUUUGGCAGCACUCUGAGAAAUAUUUUAGUCCGUCAGAGAUAAGAUGCAUUCGAUCACCAGCCCUUUGUUCAGAAAAGAGAGUGCACUCAUGUAUUUGCUGAAUAACCCAGGCCUUCUGAGGCUCAGAAAGAAAUAAUAUAAUUCCCCCUCCCCCCGAUAAUUUCCUGCUAGAUUUUUAAGUGUAGUGUAUGCGCAUGUGCAUUUAAGCAGAUCAAUGUCUAAUUAUCAGAAUUGCUUUUCACUUCCUCCUUGAAAGACGAGAUGGUUCAGUCCACCUAAAACUGAUUAAUAGAGCCUGAAUUUGCAGUGGGAAGGGUAACAAGAUGGUGAGAAAAUGGUAACUAAAGAUGCAUUCACAGGCAAAACUGAUUCCUACUGUCUGUUCCAGUCCUUUUUUAGGCCUGGUUUGGAAACAGACUGUGAACUAGGUGUCUUGUUUAUGUAUCGCAGUAAGUAUGUGCAUAUAUAUUUUGCCCUUUAAUCAAUUCAUCCAAGGUUGGUUCACAGUAAAUAACUAUGAGCAAACAUCAAAGCAGAAUAAGACCAAGUUGUAAAACUUGACCAGCUAUUAGGAGUGGUAAAUUCAUAAUUCCCAUGGCAAUCAAAAUAUAAAAGGCAUGACAGAACAAAAAAAAAAAGGCAUGCCUGGUGCCAAGAAGAACGCCAAUAAAGAAAGCAUCAGGAAAGCCUCUAUGGAUUGAUAGUGACACAUACAAGAGAGACUGUAGCAAUGAGUUCAUGACCAUGUUGAGGUCUCUACAAUUUUUAACAGCUUUUGAGAUAAUUUUGACUACUGAUAGUAAACAUCCUGAUUCAUCUCAAAGUUAGGGCUGGAGGUUUCUUUGUGUUUGUGUUACACCUUCCACUUUCUCCAUGUGAGGAUUGCUUUUUACUAUGAUCCUGAGGGGAUCCUGAUGAAAGGUUUUACCUUUCAUGCUUUUAAAUAUUAAGUGAAAUUCUUGGAUGAGUUCACUUGAGGUGAUGCUGCGUUAGAACAUAUCCACGUGCUGAUUAUAUCCAGCUUUGGUUUUUAUCUUUGAUCAUAUUCAAAUUAGCAAUGAUGUCUUAGAACAGUUAUCUGGAAUAAAUAUGGGGUGAGUAAACAAAUGCUCAACCAACAUGAAACCAAACUGGUAGAGAAGGUGCUAUUUUCCAGCUUUGUCUAAAUUUUCCAAUUGUGCCCUCUACUGAAAAGCAGAGAUUUUCCUGCUGCUUCUUAUAAAUCAGUGCCUUAAUCAGAGCUGCCAUUAGAGACAAUUUAGAACAAAAUGAUGCCUAGGGUACUUAUAUUUAGGUGGAUGCAAGUUCAGCAUUGGAAAUGUUCAAUAUGUAUUCCAAUCCUCAAGAAAGGGAGCCCUGGGGUUUAAAGAAACCACUAAAUCACUGCAUUACUCUCCUGUGUAAGCAAAGUGAUGCUCAAAACUAUGCAACAAAGAUGUUUUGCCAUACAUGGCAUACAAAAUGUCAGACGUCUAAGUUGGGUUCAGGAAAGGAAGGAGCACUAUGAAUCAUAUUGUAGACAUAUGUUGGCUAAUGAAGUACAUCAAAAAAUUUAAAAAGAAAAUCAGUAAGGCCUUUGAGUGUGUAGAUCUUGCAAAAGUUUGGAUUAUUCCCAGAGAAAUGGGUUAGUCACAGCAUUUGCCCUGAUGCAUAGCGGCAAGAGACUAUGACCAUGAGAGAAUAUGGCAAAACAGGUGGAUUCCGAUUACCAAAGAGGUCUGGCAAGGAUGCAUUUUAUUACUCUAUCUGUUUCACUUGCAUGCUGAACAUAUACAUAAGGCAGGAUUAGAAUAAGAGGAAAGAAGCAUGAAAACGAGAGAAAGGAAUGUCAAGAAAAUCAACAAUGCAAGAUAUACAGUAAUGCCAUACUAACAGCAAAAAAUAGCAAAGACUUGGCCCGAUUACUGAAGAAAGUAAAGGAAAAAAAGUACAAAGACAGGUUUGCAGGUGAACAUUAAAGAUGACUACAGAUGAUUUAACAUACCUUUAAAGUAAAGGAUGAAGACAUCAAAAUAGUUAAAGAUUUAUCAUGCCUUGAUUCACCCAUUAAUUAGAACAGAAACUACAGUAAAUAAAUCAGAUGGAGACUAGGAUUUGGAAGAAUAGCUAUAAGGAAACUAAGCUCUCUGAAGUAUAAAGAUAUCUCAUCUAAUAUUAAAGUUAGCAUUGCCCAUAACAUAUUUCCAAUUUCUAUGUUUGAUUACGAAUGCUGGACAGUGAAGAAAGUUGACAUGAAGAAAUUUAUCUGAUUUGAAAUCAUAGAAUAAUAGAGCUGGAAGAGACCACAUGAGCCAUCGAGUCCAAUCCCUUGCAAUGCAGGAAAAGCACGAUUAAAGCACCCCUGACAGAUGACAAUCCAACGUCUGUUUAAAAGCCUUCAAGGAAGGAACCUCCACUAGACUCUGAGGCAGAGAGUUCCACUAUUGAACAGCUCUCACGGUCAGGAAGUUCUUCAUAAUGUUCAGGUGGAAUCUCCCUUCCUAUAAUUUGAAGCCAUUGUUCCAAGACCUAGUCUCCAGGGAAGCAGAAAACAAGCUUGCUGCCUCUUCCUUAUGACAUCCCUUCAAAUAUUUAAACAUAUUUGUGGCGCUGGACAAGAGUUCUAUGGAUACCUUGAAGUACUAAAGCAAGAAAUAAAUAACAGAGCAAAUCAAGCCUGAACACCCUCCAGAAGCCCCAAUUAGUCAUACUGUGGCCAUAUCAUUAAAAAAAACAAAAACAAAAAAAACAGGAAUAACUAGAAAAAAGCAAUAAUGCAUCAGAGUACAGUAGGCAAAGAGAAAGGCUGCAUUACAGAUGGAUAGACUCAAUCAGUGAAGGCACAGCCCUGAGUCCUCAAAUCAAAGUUUGUUGAUAGCAGUUAAUUAUAAGCUAAGGCCACAUUUGCACUGCCAUAUAAGAGCCAGAUAAUCUGCUUUGAACUGGAUUAUAUUAGUCUACACUGCCAUAUUAUCCAGUUUAAAGUAGAUAAUCUGGAUUUUAUAUGGCAGUGUAGAUUGGGCCUUAACUACUCUUUGAGAUCCUAUAUGUACCAUUUGUGGGUGCUAAUGCAGAAAGAAAUGGUAUAGUAGAGUCUCACUUAUCCAAGCUAAACAGGCUGGCAGAAGCUUGGAUAAGUGAAUAACUUGGAUAAUAAGGAGGGAUUAAGGAAAAGCCUAUUCAACAUUAAAUUAGAUUAUGAUUUUACAAAUUAAGCACCAAAAUUUCAUGUUAUACAACAAAUUUGACAGAAAAAGUAGUUCAAUACGCAGUAAUGUUAUGCUGUAAUUACUGUAUUUACGAAUUUAGCACCAAAAUAUCACGCUAUAUUGAAAACAUUGACUACAAAAAUGCCUUGGAUUAUCCAGAGGCUUGGAUAAGCGAGGCUUGGAUUAGUGAGACUCUACUGUAUAUGUUCCGAGUAGGUGAUGAUGGAGUGACUUGGGGGUCUUUCAUCCAUAGGGUCAUUAUAAGUAAGUCGACUUAAUGGCAGUUCAUAAAAAGUCCAGAAUUUAGUAAAAACAAAGCCUUGACAGAUAAUGAUUCUCAUAUUGUAGAAUAAUCUGACAAGGCUUUGCUUUUACUGAGAUUGUUUGGACCUAACACUUUCUGACUUAGAAGGAUUUUUUUCCCCUCGGGAGGUUAUUGAGCCCUUUUCCAAUUAUUUUAGAUUACAUUCAUUUUAUUGCUUUUAACGAAUUGUGAUUUGUUUAUAAAGUUAUGAAUUAGUAUAGAAAUAUGGAAGAUGGGGAAGACUUCUGUUCAAGUCUUUUAAAUCUUUGCUCAUAUAUUUUUUAAAAAAGGAUCAUCUCUUGUAGUAAAAAUCUCUGAACAGGUUCCACUGCCUUCAUCCUUUUUCUGCAGCUCUUGUUGUUUCCCAUUUAUGCCCUAUAUAUGUACCUACACUUUAUUAGCUGGGAUAAUGGGGAAAAGCCCUGGUUGUCAGGGGAAUCCAGUAGAUCCACUCAGCUGUGGCACACAUGCUUGCCCUCGCCCUUGCCCAAAGUGGCAGGGGUGUCAAAUGCCAGUGGAAAGGGUCACCCCAAAGAAGUGAUCCAUCUGCUCAGAAAACGUGCUGGCCUCCUUCCUUUGCAUUGGUACUCUGUGAACAUUUGCUUGCUUGCUUUGUAAUGCAACCUGUCAUAGGCACAAAAAGUGAAGUGUGAGGAAUAUACUUGUUAGAUAUCUUGUUGCUGUGACAUUUGUUGCUUGGCUACGGUUUCAGAAUAGGCUGAGCUUUCAUAACCUCACAGUACGUUGGUGAAAAAAGUAUUCUUGUUAUGUGAAUUUGGUCAGCCAUUUUAGAUUUGGAGGAACAAAAAAUAGUAUUUUAGAAGACCAUAGCAAUUGUUUUGCUUCAUCCUUCAUAACAAAGAUCCAUUCUUUUUUCCACAUUUGCGAGUGUUUGUUGCAUACAGUGCAAUACUUUCCAGUUAUUAGUCUUUCAUAAUCGUUUCUCAGAUAAUAUAUUUUCAAUAAGGGGUCUUCUAUUUGAAUAGUAUAUAUAAAGUAUUAUCGGCUCCAAAUUAAUAUCCGUUUCCUCCUUGUCUACAGUCUGAUAGCUUCCCCUAUGUACAUUUUUAUAUUAAUUUUACAUUGAGAUAUUAGAUCAUUGGUUGCCAUUCAUUAACAAAGUUCUCUAUAGGUUCUCCUCUUAAGAGCACAGUUAUUUUAUCCAUUAUCAUCAAAUCUGUAAUGUAUUUUUCCCAGUUUUCUAAGGGAGGUAUCUCUGAGGUUUUCCAAUGACUGGCGUAUACUAUUCGAGCUGCCACUGUCAUAUAAAACAAAAUGUUUCCAAAUUUCCUUUCUAGUUCUUCACCGGGCAUGUUCAAAAGGUACAUUUGUGGUGUCAUUUUGAAAUUUGUGUUUAAUAUUUUUUCUAGAUAUACAUGAAUUUGUUUCCAGUAGUUGUUUACUUUGUUGCAUGACCACCACAGGUGGUAAAAUGUGCCUUUUUCUUUCCCACAUUUCCAAAAUUUGUCGGUGCAGUUGUACAUCUUCGCUAAUCUCUCUGAAGAGAGAUAUCAUCGCAGGUGCAUUUUGUAGACGUUUUCUUUUAGGCUUUGACAUGCCGUGUACUUAAUUCUUCUCUUCCAUGUUUUUUCCCAUUGAACCAUUUUUAUCUCUUGGCCGAUGUUUUGAGCCCAUCUAAACCAUCGAGUCCUUUCCUCUUCCAUGUGCCAAGUCAAUAGAUUUUUGUAUAUAUAUGAUAUAAGUCCUUUGUAUAUAUAUGAUAUAAACCAUGUUUUUUGCAAUCUGGAAGCCCAAGGUUCGACGUUGUUCUUUAAAUUUCUCACACAGUUGUCUAUAUAGAAGUCAAUUUCAUUUAAGGCCCAUUUGGUUCAGUUCUCUAGGGAUUUCAUUUCUGAGUUUUCUAACUUGGUCUGGAUCAGCUCCCUGUAAGUUAACCAUUUCCCUUGUAAGAUGUUCUCCCUUUUGUAGUAUGCCUCAUCUGGGGACUUCCACUCCGGCAUUUUUGUAUAUACCUAUGUUCCAGGUAUUUAGAAUUGGUCUCCGUAUGUAAUGGUCAUUAAAUAUGCCUAUUAGUUUGGACUUUCGUAUAUCCAAAAAUGCAUGCCACCCAAAUGGGAGAUUUAUGCCAUCUAAAUCUAAUAGCUCAUUGUCUUCUAGGGUCACCAAUUCUUUAACCCAGUCCAAACAGCACGCGUGAAAAUAGAGUUGUCAAUUUGGAAAUUUCCAAAUUUACUACAAAGAUCCAUUCUGAUCUUGUCUCUUAAAAUCCCCUAGUCUGAGAAAUAUAGAAAUAGGGCAUGAUGGAAACAACCACUUCUUGUGGUCUGUCUCAGCAUUCAAUAUUUAGAGGUAAACUGCCUCUGAAAAUAAAGGUUAAACUUCAGUUAUUAAAACCAUUCACCUCCAAUAGUUUCUGCGUUCCUUUUUUACAAGCCUUUCGAGUGUGCAGUUUGUGAUAGUACCGGUAAUUAAAUUUUCUUUUUGGUCAUCUUCUUUUGUUAUUUUAUUAAAGCAUGACAAAAUAAUUAACUUCAUUGUUACACUUUAGAUUCUCAAUAGUGACCUGCCUUGCAGGAUGCUUAUAAAAUUACAAUACAAUAUAUGAGAAGCGUAUUCUAAAGUUUAAAAUGCUCUUCCUAUGUGCUGUAAUUGUAUUUUUUGUAAACAUCUGUAGAGCAAGUCAUUAUUAUUAUUUCUAAGUUUCAUAAGGUGAGCCUGGAGAAAGCUUAUUUUCUUCUCGUUAGAAGCAACUUGAGAACAUACUGCAAGUCCCUUCUGGUGUGAGAGAAUUGGCAGUCUACAGAGAUGUUGCCUAGGGAACCCCUGGAUGUGUCCUUCGGGAGAUGGUAGCGGGGUACAAAUAAAGUUUAAUAAUAAUAAUAAUAAUAAUAAUAAUAAUAAUAAUAAUAAUAAUGCGUUACCAACCUGCUGCGAGGCUUCUCUCAUGUCCCCGCAAGCUAGAGCUGACAGAUGGGUGCUCACCCUAUCUUGCGGAUUCAAACCAGCAACCUUCAGGUCAGCAAUCCAGCCAGCACAACGGUUUAACCCAUUGUGCCACUGCAGCUGUAUUGGAGAAAGUUGAGAGAUAAUAAUAAUUUCCUUGAGGCCACUUUGUACAUUUAGGCAAAUAUCACUCUUUAAGCCACUUCACCACAACAGCUUUCCAGUGUGGCAAUGAAUCCCCUUAUCCGAUCAUGGAGGAAAAAGAAAUGGAUGUAGUGAGUUGUGGCCCUCUUGAAAAUCUGGGCAGGAUUAGGGGGAUUUAACAUUACUAAACUACGCAUUAUCAGGUAACAAGCACAAGCAGGGAAUCACUUCCUUGCAUUUUUUCAGAUGCCUGACUGACCACUGUUUGGACUAAAAUUGUCGUGCUGUGUGAAGCUUUAGUUGGUUCUUGCUUGGCAAUUCUACUCCUGGGGGCUACAAAUCUAAACACCUUAUCUUGUAUUUGUUAAUUUGCUGUUGUCUUUUCUAAAGCAUUGAUUGCUUACUAUUCAUUAGUCACUCAUGAUGCAUUUUAAUUUUCCAGCACAACAUUAAUAUCACAGUGAAAAGGUGACUUUUCUGUCUCGUUAUCAUAGAAUCAUAGAGUUGGAAGAGACCCCGCAAGCCAUCCAGUCCAACCUCCUGCUCUGCAGGAAAAUACAAUCAAAGCACUCCUGACAGAUGGCCAUUCAGCCUCUGUUUAGAAACCUCCAAUAAGGAGACGCCACCACACUCCUAGGCAGCAUAUUUCACUGAAGAAAAGUUCUUACCAAAAGUUCUUCACUCUUUUUGAUUUACCGUAUUUUUGAGGAUGGUAUUUUCAUGAUAAAGCUAGUGAACUGCUCUUUCUCUACCAUUUAUCUUGAAACAUUUUAUCAUGAGGUGGAUAGAAUUACUGUUGCGUUAGUUUCAGGCAUAGUGUAAAACAGGCCUAGUCAGUCAUGCAUGACCCUCCGAAUACUGUUUGGCAUCAACAUUCAUCAGCCCCAGCCAGCAAAACCAACGGAGAAGGGCAAGAGGAUUCAUGUUCCAACAAGAGGAGGGCUGCAUAUGACCCAGCCAUUAGCACUAGGCUUUCAAACACUCAUUUUUCAUAGGAAAUAUAUGAUCAGUCAAGGUUCUUGGUAAACAGAGAGAUAAAAUUAUAUAUUUUUUUCUUGAAAGUAGAAUAUCUGUCUUGAAACAAUUCCAGUUUCCUUGCGUGAAGAAUGUUAAUCUGAUCAAGACCUUUGCAUAAAGUUAUAUAAAAUCUCAAUCAAAUGUAUAUAAGACUUUAUGGCUUUGAACAUGUUGCAUUUAAAGUUUAUUUUAACAGUUUCCCCCUCCACCUAUUUCAAAUAAUCAGUGAGUUAAUGUCACCCAGGUCAUCACUGUAACUAUAAAUCACAUUAGAGUGCUCAGAGCAUAUUAAAUACCCUAUUAUCCUUAUAAUAAUAAUAAUAAUAAUAAUAAUAAUAAUAAUAAUAAUAAUAAUAAUAAAAAUAAAAAAACUUUAUUUAUACCCCGCCACCAUCUCCCCAAUGGGGACUCGGGGCGGCUAACAUGGGGCCAUGCCCAGAGCAAUACAGCAUAAUAAAAUAUAAAAACAACAUAUCAUAGCACCAUUUAAAAUACAAUAAAUAAUAAUAAACAGAACAUCAAGAAAUCAAAAAACAAUAAAGCAAGGGCAGGCUGCGUGAACACAGAGAUAAAACCUGGAGUGAGAGGGACCGAGGAGUACUCCACUAUGGGCAGGGACAUUUGGAAGGGGUAAUCUAGAGGAUAGAUGUUCGGAGGGGAGUAAUACGGAGAUAUAUAACAGAAAUUACUCACCGAAGGCACAGCGGAAGAGCCAUGUUUUCAAUUCUUUCCUAAAAGCUAACAGAGUGGGAGCUUGCCUUAUUUCAGUAGGUAGUGAGUUCCACAGUCGGGGGGCCACAGCAGAGAAGGCCCUCUCCCUUGUACUUACAAGGCGAGCCUGGGAUAACAAUGGUGAUAACAGGGCCUCCCCGGAUGAUCGCAAAGAACGGGCAGGUUUAUGGAAGGAGAUACGGUCACGGAGGUAGGUGGGUCCCAAACCGUUCAGGGCUUUAUAGAUGAUGGUCUGCACCUUGAAUUGGGACCGGAAGAUGAACGGCAGCCAGUGGAGCUCCUUAAACAAGGGAGUGGAUCUCUCCCUGUAAUUUGCCCCUUGCAGGAACAAUGUAAGAAGUCAUAGCACCUGAUCAAUUUAUCUUCAUAUUACUGGGAGUGAUUUUCCAGAGUUUCAGACAUUUAUCUUUAGCAGCCCUUUAGCUACAUCUGAGACAUCUAGCAUAUGGCCUAUGUGAUCUACCACUGAGCCUAUACAUAGUGCAUACAGGGACUGAGAUAAGAGACUAUUUUGUUGUUAAUUACUCCUUUUUACCUUAGGAAACAUUAUUGUCUUUUUUCUGUGUCAUGUCUUCUCAUGAUAUAUCCAAAACAUGACAAAAUCAAUUUAGUCAAUAUUCGCUUGUAGGAGGCAUUCCGGCUUCAUUUGCUCCUAGUUAAAGGUAAAGAUUUUCUCCUGACAUUAAGAGUAGUCGUGUCCAACUCGGGGUUGGUGCUCAUCUCAAUUUCUAAGCCGAAGAACUGGCGUUGUCCAUAGACACCUCCAAGGUCAUGUGGCCGGCAUGACUGUAUGGAGCACAAUUACCUUCCCGCCAUGGCGGUACCUAUUGCUCUACUCAUAUUUGCAUGUUUUCAAACUGCUAGGUUGGCAGAAGCUGGGGCUAACAGCAGGAACUCGCCCCACUGCCUGGAUUUGAACUACAGAACCUUUCAGUCAGCAAGUUCAGCAGCUCAGUGGCGCUGCACCAUUGGGGGCUCCUCAUUUGCUUCUAGAUCCAUUUAUUUGUCUUUUUUUGUGUAGUCUGUUGUAUCCAUAAAACACUCUUCUGCCACCACA